AUCAAAAACAUAGCUUAAUGUGCUUUAUAUUAAGUUAGUUCUGCUCAGUGAUUAAGUUUAAACAGCCGCAGUACACUGACUGUGCUAAGGUAGCAUAAUAAGUUGGCUUAUAAUUGAAGUCUAGUAUGAACGAAAUUUAAUGGGUGGUAACUGUCUCUUUUUAAUUUACUAGAAUUUACUUAGAUGGUGAAAAUUCCAUCUUUUACAAGAAAGACGAGAAGACCCUUAGAAUUUUUAUUAUUUGUUUUUUGUCUAGCAUUUGUAUUAGCUGGGGCGGCUUUGUGUCAAACUUUAACACACAAUAAUUUUACUUAACAUAAAAUUUUUAAUUUAAGAGGUUAAUUACCUAAGGGAUAACAGCAUAAUCUUUUUUUUGGUUUGUGACCUCGAUGUUGGAUUAGGGCCUGUUUUGGUUAGCCGCCAAAGCAGAAAGUUCUGUUCGAACUUAGACACCUACAUGAUCUGAGU
rnacentral:rRNA from 1 species